rnacentral:rRNA from 1 species
UACGAAGGUCCCGAGCGUUGUCCGGAAUCACUGGGCGUAAAGGGAGCGUAGGCGGCGUGGUAAGUCAGAUGUGAAAUCCCGGGGCUCAACCCCGGAACUGCAUCCGAUACUGCCAUGCUAGAGGAUUGGAGAGGUAGCUGGAAUUCUUGGUGUAGCAGUGAAAUGCGUGGAGAUCAAGAGGAACACUCGUGGCGAAAGCGAGCUACUGGACAAUAUCUGACGCUGAGGCUCGAAGGCCAGGGUAGCGAAAGGG